rnacentral:rRNA from 1 species
GUAGGUGAACCUGCGGAAGGAUCAUUGAAUCUAUCAAACCACACCUUUGUGAACCAUUCUGUUGGCCAUGUAUGCAUGUGUAAAAGCAUGUGUGCAUCGGUUUGGGGAUUGAAGCAAUUCAAAACUCAAACCGGCUGCUGUUGUGUGUAUGGUAUGUAUAUACAUAUGCCAAUGGCAUCGGCCUCUAUUGCUAACCCAACACCAAACCUAAACUUAAUCUAAACCGAAUGCAUGGCUUAGAGCUGUGUUCACACAACCAAAGACAACUCUCAACAACGGAUAUCUUGGCUCUCAGAUCGAUGAAGAACGCAGCGAAAUGCGAUACGUAGUGUGAAUUGCAGAAAUACGUGAAUCAUCGAAUCUUUGAACGCAAAUUGCGCUCGAGGCUUCGGCCAAGAGCAUGUCUGCCUCAGCGUCGGGUAAAACCUCGCUCUCUCAAACAUGUCUGUUUGAGCAGAAGCGGACCUGACUGUCUCAGAUUGGUUUGCUCCAAUCUGGGUCGGUUGAAGUGCAGCUGUUGGUACAUGGACCCACUAAUGGGCCUCUACUGGGUAGGCAACCUGUUUGCUCUAUGCUUUAGUAGACGGCUUAGGAUCUGUGUGAUGCCAGCACAAAGCAGGAAUGCACCUUUGUGUGCAUCAAACCCUUUUUCCUCGACCUGAGCUCAGGCAAGAUUACCCGCUGAACUUAA